rnacentral:lncRNA from 1 species
GUGAACUAUAUCAACUAUCCCUAAGCUUUGAUUAAAAUUAUGUUUUGAUCACCUAACUUUCAAAUUUUACAAAAUUGUCACUAAUAUUAUUGGAUUGUUACAAAAUGAUUAGCUAACCGUUAAGUGUGGUUAAUGGAUCAUGUUUAUCUAACGUAUCUAAAAUAUAUUUAUUUUUAUCUUUUUUAAUAUUAAUUAGUGACUAAUCCUUCACCUUUUGUCUUUUUUCUUUAUUUUCCUUUCUCUUUUCUUCUCCUCUUUCCCGAAUUGAAGCCCUAAUCGCCGACCUCCACCGGGUUUUUUUUUCCACUCCUCCUCUGCCAUCAUUGUAUCACCAUCUACUCAUUGUCCCAAGCUCCAUCUUCUUCCUUGUUAAGCUAACUUACUCGUCCCCACACAUUCGAACUCAUGCAAACCCACCUAGCUUCUCCUCCACCAUGGCAACCAUCAUCAGCAUUACGUAAAGAAACCACUACUUGCAAACCCAAAAACCUUUCCUUAUUCAAACCAAACCAGAUUACAACCAAAACAACAAUAAAAAUCACUAAUAUUUGGCAAGCCACAAACUUGAAGACAUCCAGAGAGUAUUUGAGGGAUCCCAGCGGUGGGAAACGGUCUGAGUUGCUGGAGAGACGAUCGAUGAUAGGCAACGGUCACUCGCGGGUUUCGUUUGGGAAGGAGGAGAAGAUGAAGAAAAAAAAUGAAAAAAUAUAUAUAAAAAAAGGAAAAGUUUUUUUCUUUCAUAAAUAUGUGGGAUUUUAACAUGCCAAAUUAGGUAAGCAUUGUCCCAUUAACCACAUUUAACAAUUGGGUGAUUAUUUUGUAAUAAUUCAAUAAUAUUAAUGAUGGUAUUGUAAAAUUUGAAAGCUGGGUGAUUGAAAUAUAAUUUUAAUCGAAGUGCAGGGAUGGAUGCUGCAAUUUAGCCUAAAACUUUUUAUUAUUUGUUGAUUAAAAAAUUAUAAACUGUCGGUGGGGUUUUAGCUCUAGUAACUUGAACAAAAACUGAAUAAAAAUCAGACUAAAUUCUGUAAUUCAAAUAAAUUAUAAUAAUUUUUUCUCAAAUCCAAAAAUAAUGGGAAUUGGUUUUUCUUUUUACAUCAUUGGAUCUUCUCAAAGAUAAGGCAGCACAUGGC